UACAGAGGUCCCAAGCGUUGUUCGGAUUCACUGGGCGUAAAGGGUGCGUAGGCGGUCGGGUAAGUCUGAUGUGAAAGCUCGGAGCUUAACUCCGAAAUGGCAUCGGAUACUAUUCGGCUCGAGGAAUGGAGGGGAGACUGGAAUGCUCGGUGUAGCAGUGAAAUGCGUAGAUAUCGAGCGGAACACCAGUGGCGAAGGCGAGUCUCUGGACAUUUCCUGACGCUGAGGCACGAAAGCCAGGGGAGCAAACGGG
rnacentral:rRNA from 1 species